AGUGAACGCUGGCGGUAGGCCUAACACAUGCAAGUCGAACGGCAGCACAGGAAGAGCUCGCCCUUACGGGUGGCGAGUGGCGGACGGGUGAGGAAUACAUCGGAAUCUACUUUUUCGUGGGGGAUAACGUAGGGAAACUUACGCUAAUACCGCAUACGACCUACGGGUGAAAGCAGGGGAUCUUCGGACCUUGCGCGACUGAAUGAGCCGAUGUCGGAUUAGCUAGUUGGCGGGGUAAAGGCCCACCAAGGCGACGAUCCGUAGCUGGUCUGAGAGGAUGAUCAGCCACACUGGAACUGAGACACGGUCCAGACUCCUACGGGAGGCAGCAGUGGGGAAUCUUGGACAAUGGGCGCAAGCCUGAUCCAGCCAUACCGCGUGGGUGAAGAAGGCCUUCGGGUUGUAAAGCCCUUUUGUUGGGAAAGAAAAGCAGCAGGUUAAUACCCCGCUGUUCUGACGGUACCCAAAGAAUAAGCCCCGGCUAACUUCGUG
rnacentral:rRNA from 1 species